rnacentral:rRNA from 1 species
GAGUUUGAUCAUGGCUCAGGAUGAACGCUAGCGGCAGGCUUAACACAUGCAAGUCGAGGGGUAUAGUUCUUCGGAAUUAGAGACCGGCGCACGGGUGCGUAACGCGUAUGUAAUCUACCUUUCACAGAGGGAUAGCCCAGAGAAAUUUGGAUUAAUACCUCAUAGUAUAAUGACUCGGCAUCGAGAUAUUAUUAAAGUCACAACGGUGAAAGAUGAGCAUGCGUCCCAUUAGCUAGUUGGUAAGGUAACGGCUUACCAAGGCUACGAUGGGUAGGGGUCCUGAGAGGGAGAUCCCCCACACUGGUACUGAGACACGGACCAGACUCCUACGGGAGGCAGCAGUGAGGAGUAUUGGACAAUGGGCGCAAGCCUGAUCCAGCCAUGCCGCGUGCAGGAUGACGGUCCUAUGGAUUGUAAACUGCUUUUGCACAGGAAGAAACAACGCUACGUGUAGCGUCUUGACGGUACUGUGAGAAUAAGGAUCGGCUAACUCCGUGCCAGCAGCCGCGGUAAUACGGAGGAUCCAAGCGUUAUCCGGAAUCAUUGGGUUUAAAGGGUCCGUAGGCGGUUUAGUAAGUCAGUGGUGAAAGCCCAUCGCUCAACGGUGGAACGGCCAUUGAUACUGCUAGACUUGAAUUAUUAGGAAGUAACUAG